AUGGUUGAACUUGAAAGACAUAUCAUGUUUCCUACUGUUUAUCACCUAAUUGAGUUGGCAUUGCUAUUAUCAGUAGCAACGACACCAGUUGAAAGGGCCUUCUCAUCAAUGAAAAUUAUCAAGACUGAGUUGCGCAGCAAGAUGAUCGAUGACUAGCUUAAUGACUUGAUUGUUAGUUAUAUUGAGCGAGAGAUCUUCAAAAGUAUUGAUCUUCGUAAAAUUAAGAAAAAAUUUAGAAGGAAGGUAGCGUAUUCCAUUGCCAUUGCCUGGGUCUUCUAG
rnacentral:rRNA from 1 species